rnacentral:rRNA from 1 species
UACGUAGGGGGCAAGCGUUGUCCGGAAUUAUUGGGCGUAAAGCGCGUGUAGGCGGCCAGAUAAGUCCGCUGUGAAAUCUCGAGGCUCAACUUCGAGCUGUCGGCGGAAACCAUCUGGCUAGAGUCCGGAAGAGGAGAGUGGAAUUCCUGGUGUAGCGGUGAAAUGCGCAGAUAUCAGGAAGAACACCCGUGGCGAAGGCGGCUCUCUGGGACGGUACUGACGCUGAGACGCGAAAGCGUGGGGAGCGAACAGG